UAUCUCUGUAGAGUCUGCAUAUCAAUAAGCGGAGGAAAAGAAACUAACUAGGAUUCCCUCAGUAACGGCGAGUGAAGCGGGAAGAGCUCAAAUUUGAAAUCUUCAAGGUUCUACCUUGACGAAUUGUAGUUUAAAGAAGUGUUUUCUGUUGGUAGUUUUGGUAAAAGUUCUUUGGAAUAGGACAUCAUAGAGGGUGAGAAUCCCGUAUUUGACCAUUACUUUCCAGCGUUGUGAUACACUUUCAAAGAGUCGGAUUGUUUGGGAAUGCAGUCCGAAAUGGGUGGUAAAUUACAUCUAAAGCUAAAUAUUGGCGAGAGACCGAUAGCGAACAAGUACCGUGAGGGAAAGAUGAAAAGAACUUUGAAAAGAGAGUUAAACAGUACGUGAAAUUGUCAAAAGGGAAGCGUUUGACACCAGUGUUGUUUUCUCGAAAAUCAAUUAAAAAAAGUUGGAUUUUGUAUUGUUAAGACCUUAUCAGCUUACUGUACUCUUUUCUUGCUUUUUUUAAUGCACUUUUCGUUUAACAAGUCAACAUCAAUUUCUUUUGUUGUAAAAGGGUCAUUGGAAGGUGGCUUUCUUUUCGGAGAAAGUGUUUAUAGCCUUUGGCCUCUGCAAUCGGAGAGAUUGAGGUCUGCAGCGUAGAUCCUUCGGGGUUAGAUACAUUUGUGCUAAGUUAUAGCCUUUCAUAGACAACUUGUUGACUAUGAUCAGUCAUGUAGCUUACUCGCUUAUGCUAUUUUACCUACGCUUAGGAUGUUGACGAUCAGCUGAGCGCG
rnacentral:rRNA from 1 species